rnacentral:rRNA from 1 species
CCUACGGGAGGCAGCAGUGGGGAAUAUUGCACAAUGGGCGCAAGCCUGAUGCAGCGACGCCGCGUGAGGGAUGACGGCCUUCGGGUUGUAAACCUCUUUCAGUAGGGAAGAAGCGAAAGUGACGGUACCUGCAGAAGAAGCGCCGGCUAACUACGUGCCAGCAGCCGCGGUAAUACGUAGGGCGCAAGCGUUAUCCGGAAUUAUUGGGCGUAAAGAGCUCGUAGGCGGUUUGUCGCGUCUGCCGUGAAAGUCCGGGGCUCAACUCCGGAUCUGCGGUGGGUACGGGCAGACUAGAGUGAUGUAGGGGAGACUGGAAUUCCUGGUGUAGCGGUGAAAUGCGCAGAUAUCAGGAGGAACACCGAUGGCGAAGGCAGGUCUCUGGGCAUUAACUGACGCUGAGGAGCGAAAGCAUGGGGAGCGAACAGGAUUAGAUACCCUGGUAGUCCAUGCCGUAAACGUUGGGCACUAGGUGUGGGGGACAUUCCACGUUUUCCGCGCCGUAGCUAACGCAUUAAGUGCCCCGCCUGGGGAGGUACGGCCGCGAGACUAAACUACAAGAAGUAGUAGCGNGNGAGNGCGACGACGACGACGAGGAGGAGG